CUCAGAUUGAACGCUGGCGGCAGGCCUAACACAUGCAAGUCGAGCGGUAGCACAGAGAGCUUGCUCUCGGGUGACGAGCGGCGGACGGGUGAGUAAUGUCUGGGAAACUGCCUGAUGGAGGGGGAUAACUACUGGAAACGGUAGCUAAUACCGCAUAACGUCGCAAGACCAAAGUGGGGGACCUUCGGGCCUCAUGCCAUCAGAUGUGCCCAGAUGGGAUUAGCUGGUAGGUGGGGUAACGGCUCACCUAGGCGACGAUCCCUAGCUGGUCUGAGAGGAUGACCAGCCACACUGGAACUGAGACACGGUCCAGACUCCUACGGGAGGCAGCAGUGGGGAAUAUUGCACAAUGGGCGCAAGCCUGAUGCAGCCAUGCCGCGUGUGUGAAGAAGGCCUUCGGGUUGUAAAGCACUUUCAGCGGGGAGGAAGGCGGUGAGGUUAAUAACCUCAUCGAUUGACGUUACCCGCAGAAGAAGCACCGGCUAACUCCGUGCCAGCAGCCGCGGUAAUACGGAGGGUGCAAGCGUUAAUCGGAAUUACUGGGCGUAAAGCGCACGCAGGCGGUCUGUCAAGUCGGAUGUGAAAUCCCCGGGCUCAACCUGGGAACUGCAUUCGAAACUGGCAGGCUAGAGUCUUGUAGAGGGGGGUAGAAUUCCAGGUGUAGCGGUGAAAUGCGUAGAGAUCUGGAGGAAUACCGGUGGCGAAGGCGGCCCCCUGGACAAAGACUGACGCUCAGGUGCGAAAGCGUGGGGAGCAAACAGGAUUAGAUACCCUGGUAGUCCACGCUGUAAACGAUGUCGAUUUGGAGGUUGUGCCCUUGAGGCGUGGCUUCCGGAGCUAACGCGUUAAAUCGACCGCCUGGGGAGUACGGCCGCAAGGUUAAAACUCAAAUGAAUUGACGGGGGCCCGCACAAGCGGUGGAGCAUGUGGUUUAAUUCGAUGCAACGCGAAGAACCUUACCUGGUCUUGACAUCCACAGAACUUUCCAGAGAUGGAUUGGUGCCUUCGGGAACUGUGAGACAGGUGCUGCAUGGCUGUCGUCAGCUCGUGUUGUGAAAUGUUGGGUUAAGUCCCGCAACGAGCGCAACCCUUAUCCUUUGUUGCCAGCGGUUAGGCCGGGAACUCAAAGGAGACUGCCAGUGAUAAACUGGAGGAAGGUGGGGAUGACGUCAAGUCAUCAUGGCCCUUACGACCAGGGCUACACACGUGCUACAAUGGCAUAUACAAAGAGAAGCGACCUCGCGAGAGCAAGCGGACCUCAUAAAGUAUGUCGUAGUCCGGAUUGGAGUCUGCAACUCGACUCCAUGAAGUCGGAAUCGCUAGUAAUCGUAGAUCAGAAUGCUACGGUGAAUACGUUCCCGGGCCUUGUACACACCGCCCGUCACACCAUGGGAGUGGGUUGCAAAAGAAGUAGGUAGCUUAACCUUCGGGAGGGCGCUUACCACUUUGUGAUUCAUGACUGGGGUGAAGUCGUAACAAGGUAACCGUAGGGGAACCUGCG
rnacentral:rRNA from 1 species